GACGAACGCUGGCGGCGUGCCUAAUACAUGCAAGUCGAGCGAAGUUUUUCUGGUGCUUGCACUAGAAAAACUUAGCGGCGAACGGGUGAGUAACACGUAAAGAACCUGCCUCAUAGACUGGGACAACUAUUGGAAACGAUAGCUAAUACCGGAUAACAGUAUUUCUCGCAUGAGAGAUAUUUAAAAGUUGGUUAUGCUAACACUAUGAGACGGCUUUGCGGUGCAUUAGCUAGUUGGUGGGGUAAAGGCCCACCAAGGCGACGAUGCAUAGCCGACCUGAGAGGGUGAUCGGCCACACUGGGACUGAGACACGGCCCAGACUCCUACGGGAGGCAGCAGUAGGGAAUCUUCCGCAAUGGGCGAAAGCCUGACGGAGCAACGCCGCGUGAGUGAAGAAGGAUUUCGGUUCGUAAAGCUCUGUUGUUAGGGAAGAAUGGAUAUGUAGUAACUAUACAUGUAAGAGACGGUACCUAACCAGAAAGCCACGGCUAACUACGUG
rnacentral:rRNA from 1 species